rnacentral:rRNA from 1 species
GAUGAACGCUGGCGGCGUGCCUAAUACAUGCAAGUCGAGCGAACAGACGAGGAGCUUGCUCCUCUGACGUUAGCGGCGGACGGGGGAGUAACACGUGGAUAACCUACCUAUAAGACUGGGAUAACUUCGGGAAACCGGAGCUAAUACCGGAUAAUAUAUUGAACCGCAUGGUUCAAUAGUGAAAGACGGUUUUGCUGUCACUUAUAGAUGGAUCCGCGCCGCAUUAGCUAGUUGGUAAGGUAACGGCUUACCAAGGCAACGAGGCGUAGCCGACCUGAGAGGGUGAUCGGCCACACUGGAACUGAGACACGGUCCAGACUCCUACGGGAGGCAGCAGUAGGGAAUCUGCCGCAAUGGGCGAAAGCCUGACGGAGCAACGCCGCGUGAGUGAUGAAGGUCUUCGGAUCGUAAAACUCUGUUAUUAGGGAAGAACAAAUGUGUAAGUAACUAUGCACGUCUUGACGGUACCUAAUCAGAAAGCCACGGCUAACUACGUG